AGGAUGUGGCUCAGAGGUAGAGCACUAAUCUAGCAUGCGGGAGGCCCUGGGUUGAAUCCCCAGCACUG
rnacentral:tRNA from 1 species